UUGUAUGUAGUUGAUUAGCAAAUAGCGUAAUGUAUUACAAUAACUAUUCUAAGAACAUUAAUUUUCUGUAAAAAUAUUUUAGCUACAAUUUCUUUUUUUUUAUAGAAAUUAUUUUAUUUGACCGAUUUUGUAAGUCUAAUAAGAAUUUGUACAGUAUUUUUGGUUCGUGGUAUGCGGAAAUAUUGGGAUGUAUAGUUUUCUUUGUUUGCUAUUUUAGACUUGUCUCUGGAUAGUUAUAGAAUAAAAGAAUCAACAGUAAUAAUAAUGAAGACAAUUAUUAGCAUACUCCUGUUUGCAGUAGUACUAGCUUUAUCAUCCUCAGAGAAAAUAGUAAAUAAGGAUGACUGUCAUUGCCAUGAGGGCUUUCUAGCAAAGACAACUCCUGACAAAGGAUAUAAGUGUUUUGGCGUUCUUCUAAAACUUAUAACAAAUUGUAAUACCAUAAAAAGACCAAGAUGCGUUUGCACAGAAGCAACAGGAAUUCUAUCAGAUGAAAGUGGUACCCAUUGUGUUGAGUACAGAAGUGGCAGAGAAAUCCAAAAGUGGAAUUGUGAAAACCAGGCAGAUUGGGAGAAGUUUUUUACCGAAUAUCCUGGUGAACGAUUUGUCAAAUUGUAAAUAAUCGAUAUUUUAUAAGGUUUAAAUAAUAUAUACGGGUGUCCAGAAACUCUACCGACAAACGAAGAUAGGAGAUUCCUCAGAUAAUUUUAAGACAAUUUAAUCAAAUUCACCUAGUCCGAAAAUGCUUCCUAAGGGAGCUAGAACUCUUUGAAGAUGGCGCCAUGUAAUUAGUUUUUCUUAAAUAUCUCCAGAACGCUUCUAGUUAGAAAAACAAAAAUUGGUACGCCUAUUUAUUUUUCGGGGAUAAAUCGAUUCCAUCUAUAGCGAAUUUAUAGUACCGGUCAUAGGCGUCCGUUUUAGGUAGGGUAAAAUUAUUUUAUCGCAUAAUUUUUUUGUCUUUAAAUUUUAAGCAUCUUUAACUUUGGAUUAUUAAAUUGUGAGGUAUGCUAGUACUAAAAGGUACUCUUGCUUUAAGUCGGUAGGACACACCGUUUUCUAGAAAAAUCGAUUUGAACAUUUUUCGUCUCUUGAAUUUGAAAAAAAAAAUUGAAAAACAUUUUAAAUAAGACAACGGUGUAUUUUACCAAUUUAAAGCAACAGUAACUUUUACUACUACAAUACCUCAUAAUUUAAUUAUCUAGUGUCAAAAAUGCUUAAAAAUUAAAGACAAAAAAUUUAUGCGAUAAAAUAACCGUUGACCUACCCAAAACCGACGCAUAUGAGCGAUACUAGAAAUUCGCAAUUAAUGAAAUCGAUUCAUCUCUGGAAUAUAAUUAAACGUACAAGUUUUCGAUUUUCUAAAUAGUUUUUUUUUUAUUUUUUUUCUAAUUUAAAAACGAAAAAUUUUCAAAUCGAUUUUUCUAGAAAACGGUUUAUUCUAUCGACUUAAAACAAGAAUAACUUUUAGUACAAGAAUACCUCACAAUUUAAUAAUCCAGAGUACAAAAUGCUUAAAAGUUAAAGACAAAAAAAUUAUGCGAUAAAGUAACCGUGGCCCUACCCAAAACGGACGCCUAUGACCGGUACUAGAAAUUUACAAUGGAUGGAAUCGAUUUAUCUCUGGAAGAUAAAUAAGCGUACCAAUUUUUGUUUUUCUAAAUAAAAGCGUUCCGGAGGAAUCUAAAAAAAACUAAUUACCAGACGCCAUCUUCAAAUAGCUCUAGCUCCCUUUGGAAGCAUUUUCUGACUAUGUGAAUUGGAAUAAAUUGUCUUAAAAUUAUAUGAGGAAUAUCCUGUAUUCGUUUAUCGGUAGAGAUUCUGGACACCCUGAAUUAAUAAAUAUACUUUUAUAUUA